CUGUUUGUAUUCUGACAUAUUCCCCGUCACCUUGCAAUGGUUAAAUGCAGUGGUUCGUGCUUUCAGUUUUGUGCGAAUGCUGCCAUCUAUCCACAAUUUCUGGUUAGGGUAGGUUAUAAUAGUUACAGUGGGUACAACAUCUCCUAUACACUUCUCGAUAAACUCAGUGACCGUCUCGGUGUACAUGUCCAUAAUAUUCUCAGAAGCUACCUGGAACAUAUCCCAGUCCGCGUGAUCAAAACAAUUUUGGAGUGUACAGGUGAGCAUUACAACAUGUUGUAAGUGAGCCUGUAUUGUUGAUGGAAGUUCCUUUUUUUAACUUCUGUCAAUUUAUUUCGUUUCUAUAUUCUCUUUACAGGACAGAUUGCUGGGGAUCACAUUACUCCUGUAAAGAAUGAAGUGAUCAGUACAGACGGAAUACCUGUGACUGAGCUGCUCAUUUGAUAUAAGCAGAAAAAAUAUAUUUACCUUUACUGGUACCGGCAUUAUUCUAACCAGGCUCCUCAGUUUCUACUGUAUAACAAUCUGGUCUAAGAUACCUUUUUAUUAUUCUGUAUGUAAAUCUGAGAUAUCCAAUAUGUAGUAUAAAUUACGAAUUUGCAAAACGUACUAUAUGUUAUGAAUUUGCAAACGUAAUAUAUGUUACAAAUUUUCAAAACAUUCGAUAUUUUACGAAUUCUAGUUAGGUGGCUAGCUAGGUUAGGGUUAGGGGUUAGGGUUAAGUUAAGGGUUAAGUUUAGGAGUUAGGUUAUUGGGUUAAGGUAAGUGUUUGGUGAAGGGUUAGCUAAGUUGUUGCAAAGUACCAAAAAUCGUGUAAAUAAUUGAAAAUGUGUUAUUAGUUCAAAUGCUAUAUUUGUCCCUGAUGUGAUUCAAACUCACAACUUUUUGGUUCACGUUUUUGGUUCACGUAUUUUAAUAUACUUUAUGUACAGUAGUGGACCUGAAUUACAAACUCCGUAGGUUACAUGAGUGUUUGUACAUGAAUUAUAAUAGAAUAUCUGUAUGUUUUUAAACUUUAUUAUUGUUAUUUUUUUAUAAAUGAAUCAUACUUACUUCAUGGAACAUUUAAGUCAUUGUAAAUUCCAUUAGGCUAAUCAUAUCAUAUGAGUUAGACGUGUAGGCUUUACACUUUGUCUAAUGUACUGCAGAGAGUGCUAAUGUAAUAUUGACGAGGUUAUUUUGACUCAUACAUUUCUAUACAAUCUUACCUCUCUCUGAACAGGCUCCUCCUUCAUGUCUGUCAGUUGAUGGUGAUACACAGGCUGAGAUGGACAUGGAAGAGAGAGAGAGGAUCUCUACCUCUUACUGUAACUCACAGUCACUCUCAGUGUGUUCUGUAUAACCAUGGUACUCUGUCUGAUCAUCUGGCUGGUUCUUGAUGUAUUCUGCUUCGAGUGUACAGGAGACCAUGUUCAACAGCAACCAGGAGGUGUGAUUGCUACAGAAGGAGGACUGACAAUGCUGCAGGGUUCAAGGAGAGAUUCAAUGCAAGUCUAAAUGCCAAGACACAAUCAGUCCCCUUGACGAUCCAGAGGAUGCAGCUGUCUGACUCCGCUGUGUACUACUGUGCUCUGAAGCCCACAGUGACAA